GACGAACGCUGGCGGCGUGCCUAAUACAUGCAAGUAGAACGCUGAAGGAGGAGCUUGCUUCUCUGGAUGAGUUGCGAACGGGUGAGUAACGCGUAGGUAACCUGCCUGGUAGCGGGGGAUAACUAUUGGAAACGAUAGCUAAUACCGCAUAAUAGUAGAUGUUGCAUGACAUUUGCUUAAAAGGUGCAAUUGCAUCACUACCAGAUGGACCUGCGUUGUAUUAGCUAGUUGGUGGGGUAACGGCUCACCAAGGCGACGAUACAUAGCCGACCUGAGAGGGGGAUCGGCCAAACUGGGAAUGAGACACAGCCCAGACUCCUACGGGAGGCAGCAGGAGGGAAUCUUCGGGAAUGGACGGAAGUCUGAACGAGCAAAGCCGCGUGAGUGAAGAAGGUUUUCGGAUCGUAAAGCUCUGUUGUAAGAGAAGAACGAGUGUGAGAGUGGAAAGUUCACACUGUGACGGUAUCUUACCAGAAAGGGACGGCUAACUACGUG
rnacentral:rRNA from 1 species